CCUACGGGAGGCAGCAGUGGGGAAUUUUGGACAAUGGGCGCAAGCCUGAUCCAGCAAUGCCGCGUGAGUGAAGAAGGCCUUCGGGUUGUAAAGCUCUUUUGUCAGGGAAGAAACGGUGGGGGCUAAUAUCUCCCACUAAUGACGGUACCUGAAGAAUAAGCACCGGCUAACUACGUGCCAGCAGCCGCGGUAAUACGUAGGGUGCAAGCGUUAAUCGGAAUUACUGGGCGUAAAGCGUGCGCAGGCGGUUUUGUAAGUUUGUCGUGAAAUCCCCGGGCUCAACCUGGGAAUGGCGAUGAAGACUGCAAGGCUAGAAUCUGGCAGAGGGGGGUAGAAUUCCACGUGUAGCAGUGAAAUGCGUAGAGAUGUGGAGGAACACCGAUGGCGAAGGCAGCCCCCUGGGUCAAGAUUGACGCUCAUGCACGAAAGCGUGGGGAGCAAACAGGAUUAGAUACCCUGGUAGUCCACGCCCUAAACGAUGUCUACUAGUUGUCGGGUUUUAAUUAACUUGGUAACGCAGCUAACGCGUGAAGUAGACCGCCUGGGGGAGGUACGGUCGCGAGAAUAAACUACUUAAUUAGUAAGUUAGUUAGGCGNGNGAGNGCCGACGGACGACGACGAGGGAGGAGG
rnacentral:rRNA from 1 species